CCUACGGGUGGCAGCAGUGAGGAAUAUUGGUCAAUGGGCGAGAGUCUGAACCAGCCAAGCCGCGUGCAGGAUGACGGAUCUAUGGUUUGUAAACUGCUUUUAUAUGGGAGUAAAGUGAGGAACGUGUUCCUUUUUGUAUGUACCAUAUGAAUAAGCAUCGGCUAACUCCGUGCCAGCAGCCGCGGUAAUACGGAGGAUGCGAGCGUUAUCCGGAUUUAUUGGGUUUAAAGGGUGCGUAGGUGGUUAAUUAAGUCAGCGGUGAAAGGUUGUGGCUCAACCAUAAAAUUGCCGUUGAAACUGGUUGACUUGAGUAUAUGUGAGGUAGGCGGAAUGCAUGGUGUAGCGGUGAAAUGCGUAGAUAUCACGCAGAACACCGAUUGCGAAGGCAGCUUACUAAACUAUAACUGACACUGAGGCACGAAAGCGUGGGGAGCAAACAGGAUUAGAUACCCCUGUAGUC
rnacentral:rRNA from 1 species